rnacentral:rRNA from 1 species
CCUACGGGCGACAGCAGUGGGGAAUAUUGCACAAUGGGGGAAACCCUGAUGCAGCGACGCCGCGUGAGUGAAGAAGUAUUUCGGUACGUAAAGCUCUAUCAGCAGGGAAGAAAAUGACGGUACCUGACUAAGAAGCCCCGGCUAACUACGUGCCAGCAGCCGCGGUAAUACGUAGGGGGCAAGCGUUAUCCGGAUUUACUGGGUGUAAAGGGAGCGUAGACGGCAGCGCAAGUCUGGAGUGAAAUCCCAUGGCUUAACCAUGGAACUGCUUUGGAAACUGUGCAGCUAGAGUGCAGGAGAGGUAAGCGGAAUUCCUAGUGUAGCGGUGAAAUGCGUAGAUAUUAGGAGGAACACCAGUGGCGAAGGCGGCUUACUGGACUGUAACUGACGUUGAGGCUCGAAAGCGUGGGGAGCAAACAGGAUUAGAUACCCUAGUAGUC